rnacentral:rRNA from 1 species
UGGGGAAUAUUGGACAAUGGGCGAAAGCCUGAUCCAGCCAUGCCGCGUGUGUGAAGAAGGUCUUCGGAUUGUAAAAGCACUUUAAAGUUGGGAGGAAAGGGCAUUAACCUAAUACGUUAGUGUUUUGACGUUACCGACAGAAUAAGCACCGGCUAACUUCGUGCCAGCAGCCGCGGUAAUACGAAGGGUGCAAGCGUUAAUCGGAAUUACUGGGCGUAAAGCGCGCGUAGGUGGUUCGUUAAGUUGGAUGUGAAAAGCCCCCGGGCUCAACCUGGGAAACUGCAUCCAAAAACUGGCGAGCUAGAGUACGGUAGAGGGGUGGUGGAAUUUCCUGUGUAGCGGUGAAAUGCGUAGAUAUAGGAAGGAACACCAGUGGCGAAGGCGACCACCUGGACUGAUACUGACACUGAGGUGCGAAAGCGUGGGGGAGCAAAACAGGAUUAGAUACCCUGGUAGUCCACGCCGUAAAACGAUGUCAACUAGCCGUUGGGUUCCUUGAGAACUUAGUGGCGCAGCUAACGCAUUAAGUUGACCGCCUGGGGAGUACGGCCGCAAGGUUAAAACUCAAAUGAAUUGACGGGGUCAUAGCUGUUUCCUG